rnacentral:rRNA from 1 species
AUGAUGGUCGUGAAUCCGCCGGGCAGUUCUUCUCUCGCGCGGCCGACCGCUCGCUGCUCCUCCGGCAACCGAUGGACCAGAGCUCCCCAGCCUGCCGCAGUGGCCAAGAACAAGCCAGAAGUUGGAGGAAAUGUUGCGAGCAUGCCAAAUCUGUUAGGAUCAUUAAAUUGCAAGGUCGAGAAGAAGGCUAGAGAGACUCGAACAAAGAAGCAGCUCCACAAACCCGAAGAAGUGCCGACGUGUCAGGAAAGUAUACAUCGCCAACUUUCCAUGGUGGAUGUGCUCCAAAAGAUCGGUAUAUCUCGGCAUUUUGCCAGUGAGAUCAAGAGUAUCCUGGAUUUUACAUACAGUUAUUGGUUACGAAGAGAUGAGAUCAUGCUAGAUGUGGAGACAUGUGCCAUGGCGUUCCGCACCUUACGGAUGAAUGGGUACAAUGUAUCAGCCGAUGGCCUGUCACAUAUCUCCACCGAUCUGAGUGACACGAGAUCUUUGUUGGAACUAUACAAGGCUUCACAAGUUAGUACUUCGGACGAUGAGUUGAUUCUGGAUAUUAUAGGAUCCUGGUCAGGUCACCUACUGAGGCAACAACUGAAAUCUAGUGAGGCACAAAGAACCCCACUCCUAAGAGAGGUAGAACAUGUUCUUGAUAGCCCCUUCUACACCAUGUUGGAUCGUCUGGAGCAUAAGAGGAACAUCGAACAAUUUGACAUAAUCGAGCAUCCCAUCCUACAAUUGACUUCUCAGACAAAUCAAGAUCUUCUAGCUCUGGGUGUCAUGGAUUUCAGUACAAGUCAAUCUAUUUAUCAACAAGAAUAUCAACAUCUCGACAGUUGGGUGAGAGAGAGUAGGCUGAACCGGCUACCUUUCGCACGACAGAAGUUGGCAUAUUUCUACCUCUCAGCUGCCAGCACCAUGUUCCCUCUAGAGCUAUCUGAAGCUCGCAUCCUAUGGGCCAAGAAUGGCGCGCUCACAACGGUCGUCGAUGACUUCUUUGACGUCGGGGGAUCAAAAGACGAAUUGGAGAACCUCACUGCAUUAGUCGAGAUGUGGGAGCAGCAAGAGGAAACCGAGUACUACUCUGAACAAGUCGAGAUCGUGUUCUCUGCAAUCUAUAUCUCGGUAAACGAGCUUGGAUCAAAGGCUUCCAUAGUGCAAGGCCGCGAUGUCACGGGACACCUAGUAGAAAUUUGGCAAGAAUUGCUAAGGAAUAUGAUGACUGAGGUGGAAUGGAGAACGGGCGGAUACGUUCCAACCCUAGAUGAGUACAUAGAAAAUGCAGUUGUGACAUUUGCAUUGGGCCCAAUUGUGCUUCCUGCAUUGUAUUUUGUUGGACCAAAGAUUACUGAGUCUAUGGUAAUAGAUCCUGAGUACAUGCUGGAGGAGGGGCUCAAGCCUGUUAAAGCCCCCCUAGUAGAUUCGCCCCUGCUUGCGGCCGUCUUCUCAACGACGUCCAAACCUACGAGGGAAUACAAAGAGGGUAAACUGAACAGUGUCUCUCUGCUCGUGCUUCACAGUGAUGGCUCUGUGACCAUACCAGAGGCUAGAAGGAAGUUGCAGAAGCCCAUAGAUACGUGUAGAAGAGACCUGCUAAGGUUGGCCCUUAGGGAGGACGAUGCCGUGCCUAGGCCUUGCAAGGAACUGUUCUGGCACAUAUGCAAGACAUGCUACUUUUUCUAUUAUCAGGGAGACGCAUUUAGCUGCCAAGAGGAGAAGGCCGGUGCGGUGGAUGCGGUGGUACAUGAGCCACUCCAAGUCCCCAUGAAUCUACUCUCUGACCUUGAUUUAUCUACUUUGCGUGAGAGAAUAAAGAUCAAACAUUAA